rnacentral:rRNA from 1 species
UACGUAGGUGACCAGCGUUGUCCGGAAUUACUGGGCGUAAAGCGUGCGCAGGCGGUUCGUUGUGUCGGCGGUGAAAGCCCCGGGCUCAACCUGGGAAUGGCCGUUGAAACUGGCGAACUGGAGUGUGGCAGAGGGGGGUGGAAUUCCGCGUGUAGCAGUGAAAUGCGUAGAGAUGCGGGGGAACACCGAUGGCGAAGGCAGCCCCCUGGGCUGACACUGACGCUCAGGCACGAAAGCGUGGGGAGCAAACAGG